UUUGAAAUUGUAGGAAAAUAUAACUUUUAUGACAAUAAAAAAGUGUUCCAAAUUUCAUAAAAAAUUAACCCUUUGCCUACACACAUUAUUUUUCUCCCGAUUCCUACACACACGGAUUACGCUAACCCCAAAAUUUUGUAGACUUAUAUCUUUAAAUGUAUUUAAUUAAUUUUAACUUCUUUUUUUUUUUUAAUCGAAAGGAAAAAAUCUCAGAAUUAUGAUGGUCUUGGCUAAAAAAUCGAAGAUAUUAAAAGAAAAGUGAUUUUUUUUAAAGAAUGAGAAAGAAACGAAAAAUUUUUGUAAAAAUUCGCUUUUUUUCAAACGCCCGUAUCCUUUCUAAAAAAAGGCAUGUUAAAUCGAUACUCGCAUCUCUCGAAGUCUUCUCGAAAGUCUCGAAUUAUUGUUGACUCUUUUCCGCGAUGAUCUGAUUGGUUCUCUCGCUUAGCUCACUUCGUGCUGCGAGAGUUGUCAGCGCGGGGAUCAUAUGUUAUGUACAUGUAACGUGUGUGCCGCGCUAGGUUAUUAUAUACUUUUUCCAAAAGUAAGUAAUCUUUUACUACUAUAAUAAUAAUCUGAUUAUUAAAGAAGUUGUGACGAAAGAUUAUUGAUGGAAGAUUGAUGAGAACUUGGUCUGUCAUGGAAAACGUGUCAUCAUCGAAAAUAAUUCCAAGAUAGCCUUAGCUUUAGAAAUUAUUCUUUUUAAUUACAGUUUAUGUAGACUGCUAUUUACGAAGGAUGGUUCUGAAAAGUUUGCUAUUUAAAUUAUACAAAAGAAUAAUUUUAGCACGGAGAAUGGGAAUGUUUUUAAUAAUCCAGCAAAUGUCAAAAACAAAGUUGAAAUAUUAAGGAAGCUGAGUUCAUGAGAAGCAUCCCUGUAUGAUUUAUUUGGUUGACAUAUAUGACAUGACUGAAGCCUGAACAUUAUUUUCGAAUUAAUGGAAGGUGGUGAGCUCUUUGAUAAUAGAAUAAAAAGCAGAGGUAAACUGUCUGAACCAUGUGCAAAAAUGAUACUGACUCCCCAAAAAAGCGGUACUCUAAAAAUGUGGAAAAAAUUUUGCAUAUUUCAAAUGAUUAUAACUUCCGCAAUGUUCGUCUGAACGUACAUGCCUCAGUUUCUUUAAUAUUUCAACUUUGUUCUUGACAUUCGCUGGAUUAUUGAAAACAUUCCCCUUCUCUGUGCAAGUAAAAUACAUAAACUGUAAUAUAAAAGAAUAAUUUUUAAGGUUAAGGCUAUCUUGGAAUUAUUUUCGAUGAUGACAUGUUUUCCGUGACCGACCAAGUUCUCAUCAACAAAUCUUCCAUCAAUAAUCUUCCAUCAUAACUUCUUCAAUAAUCAAAUAAUUAUUAUAGUAAUAAAGGAUUAUUUACCUUUGAAAAAUCUCGUUAAAUGUCACUAUCUUCUAAUAAACUUUUUAAACACA